rnacentral:rRNA from 1 species
AGGACGAACGCUGGCGGCGUGCCUAACACAUGCAAGUCGAGCGAUGAAUCCUCGGGAUGGAUAGCGGCGGACGGGUGAGUAACACGUGGGUAACCUGCCUUGUAGAGGGGGAUAGACCUUCCGAAAGGAAGAUUAAUACCGCAUAACAUCUUUUUAUCGCAUGGUAGAAAGAUCAAAGGAGCAAUCCGCUACAAGAUGGACCCGCGGCGCAUUAGCUAGUUGGUGAGGUAACGGCUCACCAAGGCGACGAUGCGUAGCCGACCUGAGAGGGUGAUCGGCCACAUUGGAACUGAGACUACGGUCCAGACUCCUACGGGAGGCAGCAGUGGGGAAUAUUGCGCAAUGGGGGAAAACCCCCUGACGCAGCAACGCCGCGUGAAUGAAGAAGGCCUUAGGGUUGUAAAGUUCUGUUUACGGGGACGAUAAUGACGGUACCCGUGGAGGAAGCCACGGCUAACUACGUGCCAGCAGCCGC